ACGGAAGGCAGCAGUGGGGAAUAUUGCACAAUGGGCGAAAGCCUGAUGCAGCGACGCCGCGUGAACGAAGAAGUAUUUCGGUAUGUAAAGUUCUAUCAGCAGGGAAGAAGAAUGACGGUACCUGACUAAGAAGCACCGGCUAAAUACGUGCCAGCAGCCGCGGUAAUACGUAUGGUGCAAGCGUUAUCCGGAUUUACUGGGUGUAAAGGGAGCGUAGGCGGUUUGGCAAGUCUGAUGUGAAACCCCGGGGCUUAAGCCCGGGCAUGCAUUGGAAACUGUCGAACUAGGGUGUCGGAGGGGAAAGCGGAAUGCCUAGUGUAGCGGUGAAAUGCGUAGAUAUUAGGAGGAACACCAGUGGCGAAGGCGGCUUUCUGGACGAUAACUGACGCUGAGGCUCGAAAGCGUGGGGAGCAAACAGGAUUAGAUACCCUGGUA
rnacentral:rRNA from 1 species